UACGUAGGGGGCUAGCGUUGUCCGGAUUUAUUGGGCGUAAAGAGCGUGUAGGCGGCUAUGCAGGUCCGCUGUGAAAACUCGAGGCUCAACCUCGAGACGUCGGUUGAAACCGUAUGGCUAGAGUCCGGAAGAGGAGAGUGGAAUUCCCGGUGUAGCGGUGAAAUGCGCAGAUAUCGGGAAGAACACCCGUGGCGAAGGCGGCUCUCUGGGACGGUACUGACGCUGAGACGCGAAAGCGUGGGGAGCGAACAGG
rnacentral:rRNA from 1 species